rnacentral:rRNA from 1 species
CCUACGGGAGGCAGCAGUGGGGGAUAUUGCACAAUGGGGGGAACCCUGAUGCAGCGACGCCGCGUGGGUGAAGGAGUGCUUCGGCAUGUAAAGCUCUAUCGGCAGGGAAGAAGCAAGACGGUACCUGACUAAGAAGCCCCGGCUAACUACGUGCCGGCAGCCGAGGUAAUACGGAGGGGGCGAGCGUUAACCGGAUUCACUGGGUGUAAAGGGAGCGUAGACGGCUAUGCAAGCCAGGGGUGAAAGCCCGGGGCCCAACCCCGGGACUGCCCUUGGAACUGGGCGGCUAGAGUGCGGGAGGGGCAGGCGGAAUUCUUGGUGUAGCGGUGAAAUGCGUAGAUAUCACGAAGAACACCGGCGGCGAAGGCGGCCUACUGGACCGCGACUGACGUUGUGGCUCGAAAGCGUGGGGAGCAAACAGGAUUAGAUACCCUAGUAGUC